rnacentral:rRNA from 1 species
GGAUGAACGCUGGCGGUGUGCCUAAUACAUGCAAGUCGAGCGAACAGACGAGGAGCUUACUCCUCUGACGUUAGCGGCGGACGGGUGAGUAACACGUGGAUAACCUACCUAUAAGACUGGGAUAACUUCGGGAAGCCGGAGCUAAUACCGGAUAACAUGUUGAACCGCAUGGUUCAACAGUGAAAGACGGUCUUGCUGUCACUUAUAGAUGGAUCCGCGUCGCAUUAGCUAGUUGGUAAGGUAACGGCUUACCAAGGCAACGAUGCGUAGCCGACCUGAGAGGGUGAUCGGCCACACUGGAACUGAGACACGGUCCAGACUCCUACGGGAGGCAGCAGUAGGGAAUCUUCCGCAAUGGGCGAAAGCCUGACGGAGCAACGCCGCGUGAGUGAAGAAGGUCUUCGGAUCGUAAAACUCUGUUAUUAGGGAAGAACAAAUGUGUAAGUAACUAUGCACGUCUUGACGGUACCUAAUCAGAAAGCCACGGCUAACUACGUG